CAGAAAAGCUGCCGGCGUCUGCCAGGGCCCCGGGGAGCCCGGGCGCCUCCCGGGGAGCCAGAUACCCCCAGCCUGGACUGAAGUGAUUUUUUUUUUUUUUUUGCCUUUUUUUUUUUGGAGGAAGUUUGGCUUUCUGCGCCUCCCAGGGUGGGGAGGAUUUGAGUCUUACUGAAAUGCACCAGAAGAGGAGACUUUCUUAACUUGAGCAAGAAGGGGAGUUUGUAGAAUUUCCUUCCUGCUGUUUCAUGUUUGGUUGUUUUGCAGAUUAAAUGAAUUAAUGCACGUAAAGCGGCAACAACGAAGCCUUGUCUAUAGUCAACAGUCAAUAAAAAUGACACAGUGCUGUUUAUGUUGGCCAGCACCCAAUAAGCAAAUAAUGGGAAAUUGAUUAUUGAUUAUUUCCUCAUUCCCAAGUGAAAAGGAGAAAGGUAUCUCUAUUGGAGAUGAACGCAUGUUCAAUACACGUGGCCUGCCUGAGUCAUUAGCAAAGUGUCCAACAACUCUGAGGCGUAUCCUCAAAUGAAGCCUUGUCUCUGUGAAAUUCCUGAUAAAUCGUCAUUUUAUGGAAUGCCACAGGAAGAAGUUUUCUUUACAAGUUCUGAAGACUUGUGAUGAAUGAGUCCAUAGUUUCACCUUUGAAAAUGUCCCUGGGAGUGUCAACCCCAUCACUUUUACUUAUAUUACACUCAUAAUCAGUUCAUCUCGCCAAGAAAAAUAAUAUUAUCCUCAUGCCCAAACUUGUGACUUGAUUUGAAAACCAGUAAAUCAGAAAUAAAACUUCCCAUGUGUUUUUUUCCUACAUGAAUCCAAGUGACUCAGAUAUUGUGUUAUUCAAUAAGACUAUUACCAUGACUCAGGUAAAAGGGCCGUUUAUAUUUUCUGAAGUCUCAAGUCUAGGGUCCAAAAUAAAACUAGCAUCUUUUAUAGAAUAAUUUUUCUCUAAAAUGAAAUGUGUAUGUCACCUGGUUGUCAAAAUCCUUAUUUAAAUCUUUAAGGAGAAAAGCAAUGGUUUGGA
rnacentral:lncRNA from 10 species